GACGUAGGGCGCGAGCGUUGUCCGGAUUUAUUGGGCGUAAAGAGCUCGUAGGCGGCUUGUCGCGUCGUCCGUGAAAACCCACAGCUCAACUGUGGGCUUGCGGUCGAUACGGGCAGGCUAGAGUUCGGUAGGGGAGACUGGAAUUCCUGGUGUAGCGGUGAAAUGCGCAGAUAUCAGGAGGAACACCGGUGGCGAAGGCGGUUCUCUGGGCAUGAUCUGACGCUGAGGAGCGAAAGUGUGGGGAGCGAACAGG
rnacentral:rRNA from 1 species